CACAACAAAGGCAGUUGGAGGCAUGUGUUUUACAAAGUCAGAUCUGAGAUCAGAAAACUCGUGGGAUCUGAUAAAGUUGGCCUCCCACAAACUUACAGGUACAAUUCUUUAGAUUACUCCAAGAAUUUCGAUGAUGGAAAGAAUUACACCUAUGGUUGAUUUUUGGGGAAUUUUGAAACCAUCAAUGGAGCUUUGCUAAAAGAAAUCUCUGAUCUGGAAAAACCAAUAAGCUUCUCUGUUUCAAGAUUCAGAUCAAACAAAGACGGUAGAAUUCUGGGUUCUUUACUUGUGUUUCAGCUUUCAUUAAUUUGUUUACAAUAUAUAUAAUGCAAAUGUUCAUUCGUAAAAAAAAAAAAAGGCCUGUGCUUAUAUUGCUCUGUUAUGUAAAGUGGUUUUGCUUGUAGCCAUGGCUAUUAGCUACAAAAAUGGUUGUCAUUAUAAAUUUUUUUGCAGGGUUCAAUUGUAUAAGUAUUGUAUUUAUUCAUGUAAUGUAAAAUAUGGUUUUUUUUAUCUCACUAUAAAUAAUAACAAUUUAUUCACUUAGAAGUGUACUUGUUAAUAGAGUUAUACCAAAAAUAUUAGGUCGCUUUCUCCACAAACGUCGGUGAAAAUGCAUGGACCAGAAUUGGCAGCACAUGAUGAGAUGAGCUUUGGAUACUAAGCCAUGUUCCAUGUGAUUUUUAUAUUAACGAAAUCAAACCAAAGCUACCACCACAAAUUGCACCCAAAAUUUUACUAUAAUCUAUAAUAUCAUUUUUUUCGUUACGGUUAUUUAAAUUUGUCGGCAAAAAAAAUCAGCUGUUUUUCCCAAGGUAAGCAUUAACUUAGGAAGAUUACGAAGUGGGGUUACCACUUUCCUUCACCUUGAACCAUGCAGCAAAGUGUCGGUGAGUAAAUUCGGCCGCUAUAUAAUAACAUAGAGGUCUAGUAUUACCGACGAGUUGAACAGUAAUAUUUUUAGCGACGAUUUGUGAAAUGGUAACUGAUAACCGUCACUAACGGGGUGAAAAUUUAGUUUAAAGGAAAUAAUCUUUGUUUUUUAUUUUUCAAUAUAAUCUAAAUUUUUAGUGUCAUAAUGGUAAAAAAUCUGCAAUGAUCUCAAGUUUAGGGUUGAACCCGUAAUAAUUAAAUUUGUAUUAAUAUUUAUUGUAUUACUCGAUACAUUUCGUUUUAAUAAUAAAUAAAAAACUUUAAAUCAUACUUUUUUUUAAUAUAAAAAUUUAUAUCUCGUUUAUACAAACUAGAAUAAUGUGUAUCCAUAAAUAUAUAACCAGUGUAAUUUAUCAUAUUUAUUAAUUUGUGAGUUUGAAUACAAUAGAGUGUGAAGAGGGUUACUAUGAAGAAAUAUUUUGGUGGUAAAGGAUAUCUCAUGUGGUACUACAUGUGUCUUCUACUUUCAUAUUGCCUCAUGCCAAGCUUUGCCAACCAACAACAGCUUUUUGUUGGAUUCACACAAAUAAUAAUAAUAAUAAUAAUAACAACCAUCGCAACUUCCUACCUUCUAAAAAGAACUAAAAGUUUUUUAGUAACAUAAUUUAGUAUUAUUAAAUUUAGAAGGUUAUUUUGAGUUUUAGGGUUUAAUGAAUAAAAAUUUAAUUGUCACUCGCCCUUUUUCAUCUAUAAGUAAAUAAAAAAACUGAAUUUCCAAAAAACUUGUCCUAUUCUGUUAUCAACUAGCUCGACUAGGGGUGAAGUUAGAAAAAUUUUUUAGGUGAACCAAAAUUAAAUUGUAAUUUUUAUGAUAAUAAAAUUAUAAUUUUACCAUUUUAAUAGCCUAUAUUUUUAAAAAUUUUAAAGGAUUACAUUAAAUUUUUAUCAUUUUUAAGGGAUGUUUACCUUUACUAAUUUAAAAUUUUAAAAAAAAAUAUUCAUUUUAGGGGGCCUGGGACCCCUGCCAGCCCUUAGCUAUGCUCCUAAAUUCGACAUACUCUUAUUUAUUUGUUAAUAUAUGUGGUACUAGCGUCAAGGAAUAGAAAUGUUUAUUUGUAAGUAAUCAAAUCAAAUCAAUGUAAAAUGAAAGAAAUGAAAGAAAUUUUAAAAACCAAAAACAAAUUCAAGUCACACCAUUGUAGAAAUAGCAAGAAAAUGCUUUUGAUGUAGAAAAUAAAUUUGGAAAAAAAAUAAUUUGCAUUUCACUAAUAUUAUUAAAUCAGUGAUAAAAGAAAGGUUUGUCACUAAUUUUCAAUUCCAUCUUUAAACAAUUCCUUAGAAAUACAUCCCAUUAUUUUGAGAUUAUUUUAAAAGGAUACUACCUCCCAUUACAUGUCAACGACUGAAGGAGAGCACUCAUCCUUUGAUUUUCUUCUCCAUUUCCAAGUUUUGCUUCCAAUCUGCCUUGGAUCUUCCUGCAAUGAUGUUGCUCCUCUGUUUAAAACUGACCCUCCGCCAUAGUUGAAUAGCCAAAUUGCCACUUUCGUUCCCCUCCAUGAUUUUUAAAGAGAGAACCCAUUCAAUUUCGUUUCCCUCAUCCACCCCAAGUUCUGUCAGUUUGCUGCUGUCUCUGAUAGCAUUCAAAUGAGGUUUCUCCAAUAAUAAAUCACAUCGUUGUAAGACCUUUUGGAAGAUGACGUCAUUUAUCGCCACACAAUGUGCAUGUGAGGAUGGUAUCAAAGUCUCUCGCCUCCUUUGUAUUUAUGUUAUCAAAUUGCAACCGUUGAGGGAUUCAUUCCAAGAUAGCGAUCAAGUUGAAAGCUUGGAUUUUGAUUGAAAGUGGUCCCCUAAACCAAAU
rnacentral:lncRNA from 1 species